GACGAACGCUGGCGGCGUGCUUAACACAUGCAAGUCGAGCGGUAAGGCCCUUUCGGGGGUACACGAGCGGCGAACGGGUGAGUAACACGUGGGUGACCUGCCCUCAGCUCUGGGAUAAGCCUGGGAAACCGGGUCUAAUACCGGAUAUGACUCCAUGACGCAUGUUGUGGGGUGGAAAGCCUUGUGCGGCUGAGGAUGGGCCCGCGGCCUAUCAGCUUGGUUGGUGGGGUGAUGGCCUACCAAGGCGACGGACGGGUAGCCGGCCUGA
rnacentral:rRNA from 1 species